UGGCGGACGGGUGAGUAACGCGUGGGCAACCUGCCCCGUNCCGGGGGAUACCGCCUGGAAACAGGCGCUAAUACCGCAUAAGCGCAUACAGCCGCAUGGCAGUAUGCGGAAAGCUCCGGCGGCACGGGAUGGGCCCGCGCCCGAUUAGCCAGUUGGCGGGGUAACGGCCCACCAAAGCGACGAUCGGUAGCCGGCCUGAGAGGGCGGACGGCCACAUUGGGACUGAGACACGGCCCAAACUCCUACGGAAGGCAGCAG
rnacentral:rRNA from 1 species